AGCUCGGAGAUGAAACAUGGGAGGACUGAGAGAGUUAACACACGUGAAACCCUGAGAGCUGGCCCCGGCCCACCGAUUGGGCUCAGGCACGAGCCUACGCAUAGCUCUGACCAUAUCAGAAGGAACACAAGGUCCAGCCUUUUAUAUGGAGCAUUCCCAGGAGGCAAACCCAGAGGCAUUCUCCCCUCUCCUUUCUCAUUUCACCCGUCCUUGUCGUCACUCCUCUCCAAGGAGCCUGCAAGAAGGGCCUGUGCCCAGAACAGUCAGAAUUUCUACUUCAAGACGUGCCCUGGGACCAUAGUAGGGACAUGGCUUUACACCUUUCCAAAUGCGGUCACAGUCAUCUGACGCCACCCUACAACUGUGAUAAGAAACCACUUUCUCCAAGUCUCGUUCCCCAUCCUGUAGGGCAGGAUCCUGAGGCAUCUCAGGGUGGGGAUGCUUGGAGAUGAAGACACUGGGGAAGCCGACCUGCCACCUUGGCCAAUGGCACCUGCUUUACUUCCACCAUAAUCGGCGCAUCAGAAGAGCAGCCUCAGGCAGGUGCCCAGAAUUGGGGGAAUUUCUCUCAAAGAGGAUCACCCUCUGACCAACCAAUAUAAUAUCUAUCUAUCUCCACUCUUCUUCGAAGCUGCAUUUCUCAGCACAAACCCACGAACUGGCAGCAUGACCAGUAUCCCUAAGGAAGAGGAAGCCAAGAAGGAGAUGCCUUCAGUCCUCUGCCUGUCACCUGCCAGAGAACCAGGAUGCUUGGUGGGGUUGGCCUUCCUUUCUCCAAACUGCCAUCAGUUGUGACGUCACUGUCAGCUGUGCCUGGUGUCUAACUUUUCAUCUGUAUCAAUCAGCAUUGAGAGUCUGCUGGGUGCCCAGGUCGGGAGGCUCGGCCCCAGGCUGAUGUUAACAUUCACCCCAAGGGGAGUGAGCUCCCUUGCACUAUCCAGGCCCCGAUGACUGCCCAUGAAGCCAGAUUCCGUGCCCUAUGGUGAGGGAUUUCAUCUGCGUUCAAGGUGAAGGGCAUCCAGGGGCAGGUGGGACACCAGCUGAGAGAGAGAACAGUCAUGGAGGAGCUUAUGAAGAUACACAAGGCAAGUUGUGGAGUGCCUACGGUGGCCAGGCGUGUCCAAAUGCUCUGUAUGCUUGAACUCAUUGGAUCUUCUUGACAACCCCACACGGCAGGCAGGCAAAAGAGACCCCAAUAUGUCAGACAGUGCUGGACCUUGAAGGGAAGGAAAUGUUACAAAAAUAAAAGGCGCCUGCGCGAGCACACACGUGACUUCCCCCGGGUAUGAGGAACUCCUUAUCGCGUUCUUCCUUCAGACAGCUGCCUCCUGGUCCAGUCUUGUGCCCAGAAGAUGGUUUUUCUUGGCUCUGGGACUAAAUGGAGUGAACACCUGGUCCAGAUUUGCUUGGCUCUUUCUUCUCUAAGCAACUAAUUCCUGAUGGAAAAUAUGCUUACACCACAUAGACUCACACCAAAGACAAGGGAAAGCUUCCAUUUACCCUGUCGCUUUCAUUUCAUUUCUGCCUCCUGAAGGUGAAGUCAGCCCAGGCAAGCCUCAUCCGGUGCCUCACGACACAGAAAAGAGUUUGGCCUGGCUGACUGCAUGAUUAUCACAGUGCAACAGAACCUUGGCAGCAGCCUUUUAAGCAGGGUGCUGUGUUUCUGAAGACCGCAUCGCAAAAGAGAAACUCAGAGCUACACCAAGAUUCAACCUACAAAACGUGUGGGUGACCAGCCCUGUGUACACCCACUUUUCUAUGCCAAGUUACUCUUCUCAUCUGCGACUGGCCUACUUUCAUUCUGCCUUCUUCUCCCAUACUCCUUAGUCUAGCCUGUUGCAUGAGCUGCCACACCCUGAUUCUAUCUGAUGUUUUCAUCCCUCACUUCAACCAGUGGUGCUGGAGUCGGCUCCUACUGGCUCAAGAAAGCGAUUGUGCAUUGUCCUUCCCAAUGUCAUGUUCAAAAACAUGACAUUGGUAGCUUGAAAUUGGGCAUGGUAAGGGUAAUUACAUCACAGAAAGCAGCAAAUCCUACAAAUAGGGCUUUUCCCCCCUCCAGAGAGCCAGUUGUUAAACAUUUACGACCAUCCAACUGAAUUUACUCCUUUUCAAAAGUUAAAUCAAAUAAGGAUCGAUUUUAUUUUGACAAAUGUUUAGCUCUAUCCUCAGCCCUAGAAUAACAAAAAAGAGUAUCAAUCCUGAGCAAAAUGGUUAUACAUGCCCUAUGUACCACAGCACAGUUUUCUUCAGAAUAGGCUCCUCCAAAUUGGUCCCCCUCCCCUCCUUCAUGACUCUGAUCUACCUCCAAGCCAGCCUCAGCAAGGCUGGAGCACCUGGAGCUUUCAUGACCAUUCUCCCCUAUCAAAACUUAAAAAAAAUAUUUUUUAUUGGAGUAGAGUUGAUUUACAAUGUUGUGUUAGUUUUGGGUGUACAGCAAAGUGAUUCAGUUAUACAUAUACAUAUAUCUACUCUUUUUUAGAUUCUUUUCCCAUAUAGGUCAUUACAGAGUACUGAGUAGAGUUCCCUGUGCUAUACAGUAGGUCCUCCUUAUUAGUUAUCUAUUUUAUAUAUAGUAGUGUAUAUAUGUCAGUCCCAGUCUCCCAGUUUAUCCCUCUCCCACCCCUUUCCCCCCCUGGUUCCCCUAUCAAAACUUGCCUGACUGGUGUUCCAUUUACCUAUGUCAAAUUGAUAAAUGCAUUCUAACUGGGUAUUGCUCCAUAUUUUAUUUCUCUUAGAUGAAUAUAUUUUUAACACAGGACUUUCAGUGUCUUAGCUCCAAGAAUGAGGGGAAUUUCAGUCACCUUGCCAAGGCUAGCAAAUAUUUAGAGAGCAGUGAAACCAAUCACUCUCCUAAAUAGACCUUACAUACUUAUUUCAAUAAAGAAUUACAAGAUGAUAGUCACUUUAGAAAAUAAUUUGGCACUUCAAAUGUCAAACAUUAAAACCUUAUGACUUAGAAGGUAUUCCACCCUAGGUAUAUAGCUAAGAACAUUGAAAAUGUGCAUCUACACAAAAACUUGUAUGUGAAUGUUCAUGGCGGCACUAUUCAUAAUGGCUAAACAGUGGAAAUCAUUCAAAUGUCCAUCAACUAAUAAAUGGAUAAAUAAAAUGUGGUUGGGACUUCCCUGGUGGCUCAGUGGUUAAGAAUCCGCCUGCCAAUGCAGGGGACAGGUUCAAUCCCUGGUCCGGGAAGAUCUCACAUGCUGCGGAGCAACUAAGCCCGUGCACCACAACUACUGAGCCUGCACUCUAGAGCCUGCGAGCCACAACUACUGAGCCCACGUGCUGCAACUACUGGAGCCCAUGUGCCUAGAGCCCGUGCUCCGCAACAAGAGAAGACAUCACAAUGAGAAGCCCGCGCACUGCAACGAAGAGUAGUCCCUGCUCGCUGCAGCUAGAGAAAGCUUGCGCGCAGCAAUGAAGACCCAACACAGCCAAAAAUAACUAAAAUAAAUAAAUUUUUAAAAAUAUGGUCUACCAUACAAUGGAAUAUUAAGACAUAAAAAGAAAUGAAGUACUAAUACAUGCUGUAACAUAGGUAAACCUUGAAAACAUGUAAAGUGAAAGAAACCAGACACAAAAGACCACACACUAUAAGAUUCCAUUUAUAUGAAAUGCUCAGAAUAGGCAAAUCCAGACAAAGUAAUUAAGACAGAAAGUAGAUUAGUGGUUUCCAGGGGCUACGGUGGAGGGGGAAUGGCAAGUGACUGCUAAUGGGUAUGGAGUUUCUUUGGGGGGUGAUAAAGAUGUUCUUACAUUAGAUAGUGGUGAGGGUUACACAUCUAUGUGAAUAUAGGAAAAAACACUGAAUUGUA